CUGGUGGACUAAAAUUCAAAAUCAUGCCUUUGUAUGCUGGACGGAGAUAGUAAUAAAAAUUUAGAGCAAUCUCAAAUUUAACAUACUCGCUCCAUUCUCAAAUUAAUUUUCUUCUCGGGUUACGUUUUUUUUAUUUUUCUUCUUCGGUUCUUCCGUAAAAAAGCGGCUGCCAUGGUUAUCUUCUGAACUCAGAAGAAAGUAGAAGUCGAAGAUUUCAAUGGCGAAUCAAUCAUGGACUGAAAGUAUUCGAAGCAAUAGAAGCUGGACUAUCCUCUUCGGUGCGAUUACAGCUGAAUCUGGAAAAGGUUUAUUUACAUGAUUGUUAAGUCUAACCAUUUGAAUUCUUCCCCAUUCUCAACUCUGGAGAUGUUAGUCAUGAUCAUGAUAGGAAAGUUAUGAUUCAAAGCCAUCCCAUGGUAGAAAAGGAACUUCUGGAGCAUGUGAUCGACGCUGAUACAAGGAAACAAAAAAGAUUAAAGAAAUAGGGGCAAAGAAAGAUAUAUCUACAACUUUACGAAGCUAUGGAGGCUCUAGAUGCCAUGGCCCGAGCAUUUUCAAAGAAUAAGAUGUAUACUUUGAAAUAAAAGGUCCCUGAUUUUGCUUACGCUCCCGCUGCUGACAGUAAGGAUUUCGGCCUAAACCCGGGUCUAUGUCUUGAGAUUAUUUGAGAAAGCAUUAAACAUGGUUUAUGAUACUGAUUCUAAAUUUCGGGUGCAAUUAGUUGGCAUAUUCAGGAAUACCAAUCUUUCUAAAGGUGGCUAAGAAUCGUCAUCGUCGAAAAAGAAUGGGAGUACCAAUUGCUCGGGAAACUUCUUUUUAGUGUAAAAUUAUGUGAUUUCGGAAUGGUGGGCAGGUAAUUGCUAACUGCUGCCUUACUUGAUAGGUUCAAUGUCAAUGAUCACUAUGGUUUGUUGUCAAAUGGCAUUCGCUCUGUAGGAUCCAGAAAUAUACUUGGAUCAAUGCCUUACUUGUGUGAGGCAUUGUUGCUGACGAGAGUGUCGGUGUAAAGUGAGCCAAAUUUACUUGGAUGAUAACUCUGACUCUGUAAUACUUGGAUGUAUCUAGCUACCUAAUUUUGAUAAAAA